AACACACGGGUCAUCAAAAUUAGGGUUUCCUGGACAAAACCACCGCCGCUCCUCUCCUCAUCUUCUCUCUUUCUCCCCUGGCGAUUCUAGGGUUUCACUGAGAAACCAGUCGCUCCAACACCAGAUCGACUUCUCUCUUCCUUAUUAUCAUCACACGAGUUCCUCUCCGACACCAGAUCGACUUCCUCAUUAUCAUCACCACCAUUUCCUCUCUUUCUCCAGGCGAUUCUAGGGUUUCUUUACCACGCUUCAAGAUCUACGCUUCCUCAGUGAUGAAUCUUUCAGAUCUACCGUUUGGUUGUGGGUGGAAGAUGAUGAAGAUGACACAGAUCUGCGCUGGGUUCAUCAACUAUGGUGGUUGUGGGUGGAAGAUGAUGACGAUGACACAGAUCUACCGUUUGGUGGCCAGAUUGGUUUUCAAGCACUAAUUCAAUUUCUGUUACGCUAAAGUGUUGUGGCUGCAAGAAAAUCUUUGCAGGGGAGAAAUAUCUGUGAUGGUUGCUGCCAACUAGAUAUUCAGUUCUCAAAGUAGUCUUGAAGAGUUGCAAGUCAAAAUGAGCAGUCUAGGGAUUUUACAAACCCAUCACUACCUUCUGAACAGAAGGGCAGACCCUCCCAACUUGGAUAUGGAGAUGCAGAAGGUACGUGCACUUUACAAGCUAACGGGGUUUCAUAUAUUUAGCGGAUGCAUGCCAUGUAAUAUAAUUGGAGAGUCUUGGAGGCAAUCAUGAUAAGUUGUGCUGGGUAUCCCACCAGAAAACCAUUUGAAGAAUUUGUGGAUCAGUUUGGCAUCUUGGCUCCUGAAGUUUAUGGAUGGAGAGUAAGUGGAACGAUCUUAUAUGAGUGAUGGAAUUCGCGCUUGCAAGAGGCUUCUGGAGAAAGCUGGACUUGAAGGCUAUCAGAUUAGUAAGACAAAGGUGUUUCUAAGGGCCGGACAGAUGGCAGAGUUUGAUGGUUGUCGGACUAAGGUCCUAGCAUGAGCCAUGAGGAGAGAAGCAUCUUGCAAAGAGUUUCAAUUCUCAGAUGUUUCGAUCCAAACAUAUUUACGGGGGAUGGUUGCACGUCAUGAGCUUUGAUUGAGAAUAUGGACAAAAGCAGCAAUCCUUAUUCAGCUAAGCUGGAUCAUUGAAGCUGGAUCAUAGGAAUUUCAUUGCUGGCACCUGAUGACUCGAAAGGUAGAUGGGGACAGGAGCUGUAUAGGAUGCAAUAUGGGAAUGAUUUCAAUAUUCAUAGGAAUUGCAUUGUUAUGGGGCAUCGACAUAUCGCGCUUGCAAGAGGCCUCUGAGUUACCCUGUUUUGACCCGUUACAUGGCCCAUCCAUCGUGGUACUGAAUGUACUGGUACCGAAAAUCCCUAAAAAUGGGUACCUCGACCUCAUCUUUUGAACCAAGGGGAUGGUACAAAGAGUGCCACCGUAAUUGGUGAUGUUUAUAUUCACCCGUCUACAAAAGUUCAUCCAACUGCAAAGAUUGGUCCAAACGUAUCCAUAUCUACGAAUGCACAUAUAGGAGCUGGUGCACGGUUGAUUAAUUAUAUCAUUCUUGAUGAUGUCGAAAUCAAGUGGUCACGUGUCCAGGCUGAAGGAGAUCACAAGGCAAAACUUGGAAUCACAAUUCUUGGUGAAGCUGUUAAUGUUGAAGAUGAGGUCGUGGUGAUCAAAUGCAUUGCCCUUCCUAACAAGGCUCUUAAUGUAACCAACAAAAUGAUGCUUAAUGUCGAGCGUAUUUUCCCUCACAACACACCUGUCACGAACGAAGCUUACUAUUACCGAAUGAUAUUCGAGCGGUUUUUCCCUUAGGCAAGUUUCGGGCACUAUUGUGCAAUGAAUUGAGGAACUCGAGUUUUUAAAUGUCUAAUCCAUUUUCCUUUUGACAAAAAGAUGGCAUUUUGCUUUGUGUUAAAAUGAGUUUUGUGGUCGAAAUGGUUUUUUUUAAGUAUUAGUUAACUAGAAAUAAUAAUUACAACCAUAUUUACUGUUGUCGAAACAAGUGACGAGGGUUGGGUUGAAUGGUGUUUGCAACGUCUUCGGAUGAGCAUAACUGGUGAAACCCUUUGGUAUAAAUAGGCCGUUGAACUCCAAUUUGUUUUCUAUGUUUUGCAUAUUUUCUUCAAUACCUAAUGGUUUGUUUUUUAACUCAAAAUUUUUAUUACUAAAACAAUAAUUUAGAAAUUGUUUUGGUUUUUUUUUUUAUGAAAACAAUUUAACAGUUGUCAACCUUUCAAGAAACACUUUUCAGAAACCCUUUUCAGAAACCAACUCUUGUCAGAAUCCAAAAGAUUUACUGCUAUCCUUUUAGAUUUUUUUACUGCUGACCAGACUGUUCACAUACAGCUGUAAAAGCAAAGACUGUUCACAUUUGUCUUAAAGGGAGCAUGCUUGGAAGUCUAUAAAUUUAACUACAGAUUCAUCACAUUUUGCAAUAAUUUUGUUGGCGAGAUCACCAUAAAAUGAAAAAUGAUCAGGAGCCCAGUAAGGGUGAAACAGGUGAUCAAAUUUAGCGGUUGUAUUAGCCGUGUUUACAGCGUUUGUGGGAGUCAUUAGAACAUUAGGCUGCAACAGGUGAUCAACAUUGGGUCCUUUUUUUUUGAAAAUUUUGUUAGGUGGUGUAUAUUUAAAAAUCUGCUGUUCAAGAUUGUGUGUUCCUGGAGUUAUCAUAUUGGAUUUAUUUGAUUUUUGUUAAUAUUUCUACAUUAA